UACAGAGGUCUCAAGCGUUGUUCGGAUUCAUUGGGCGUAAAGGGUGCGUAGGCGGCGCGGUAAGUCGGGUGUGAAAUCUCCACGCUCAACGUGGAGGGGCCAUUCGAAACUGCCGUGACUCGAGUCCGGUAGGGGAGUUCGGAAUUCCCGGUGUAGCGGUGAAAUGACGCAGAUAUCGGGAGGAACACCAGUGGCGAAGGCGGUUCUCUGGGCCUUACCUGACGCUGAGGAGCGAAAGCGUGGGGAGCGAACAGG
rnacentral:rRNA from 1 species